GUGCCAGCCGCCGGGGUAAUACGGAGGGUGCGAGCGUUAAUCGGAAUUACUGGGCGUAAAGCGCGCGUAGGCGGUUUGGUAAGCGGGGUGUGAAAGCCCCGGGCUCAACCUGGGAACUGCAUCCCGAACUGCCAGACUAGAGUACGAGAGAGGGUGGUGGAAUUUCCUGUGUAGCGGUGAAAUGCGUAGAUAUAGGAAGGAACACCAGUGGCGAAGGCGGCCACCUGGCUCGAUACUGACGCUGAGGUGCGAAAGCGNGGGGAGCAAACAGGAUUAGAUACCCUGGUAGUCCACGCCCUAAACGAUGCGAACUGGACGUCGGGUGCAAUUGAGCAUUCAGUGUCGAAGCUAACGCGUUAAGUUCGCCGCCUGGGGAGUACGGUCGCAAGACUGAAACUCAAAUGAAUUGGCGG
rnacentral:rRNA from 1 species